rnacentral:rRNA from 1 species
AUUGAACGCUGGCGGAAUGCUUUACACAUGCAAGUCGAGCGGCAGCGCGGGGGCAACCCUGGCGGCGAGCGGCGAACGGGUGAGUAACAUAUCGGAACGUACCCAGUCGUGGGGGAUAACUAUCCGAAAGGAUAGCUAAUACCGCAUACGUCCUGAGGGAGAAAGCGGGGGAUCGCAAGACCUCGCGCGAUUGGAGCGGCCGAUAUCGGAUUAGCUAGUUGGUGGGGUAAAGGCUCGCCAAGGCGACGAUCCGUAGCGGGUCUGAGAGGACGACCCGCCACACUGGAACUGAGACACGGUCCAGACUCCUACGGGAGGCAGCAGUGGGGAAUUUUGGACAAUGGGGGCAACCCUGAUCCAGCCAUUCCGCGUGAGUGAAGAAGGCCUCGGUUG